GUCAUCAUCUCUUUGCCAGGAAAUGAAUACCAUGUUUCAUCAUGAUGAUGUCCUUUGCUUCUGUACUGUGCCAUGGGUCCAAGGGAAACUGUCAUGGCGGCCUGUUAGGAUCCAUUCUUGCAGUCAGUGAUUCCCUCCUGAUCAUCUUAGAAUUGCAGGAUACCUCAGUUCCUGAAGUGCUGAACAGAAACCCUGAAUGAAUGUUGAUGUUUGGGGUACCUACAUAGGCUGUAUAUGGAAAGAAUCAAAACUAUGUACUGUUUCCAAGAAGAGCGGGAAGGACUAAGCAAUGGGAGUUAAGUGGCUUACCCACAGUCACAUGGCUAGGAAGUGUCUGAAGUCAAAUUUGAACCCAGGACCUCCUGUCUCUAGACUUGCUCUCAAUCUACUGAGCCAUCCAACUGCCCCCAUGUGCUACCUAGCUUCCUUGAGUUCUUGGACCCUGCUAAAGAGCUGUAAGAGGUGGAGUCAACAAGCAUUGAGGUUUCUGGGAGGAAAUGGAACCUUAAGGACUCAGGUAAGGGAAAUUGAAGAGCUUGACCUUGGAAGUUUCAAAAGACAGGAGAAUGAGCUAUCAGAAGUCCAGGUGUCUGGAAUUAAGCUCAUGUGGGAUUUUGCAACCACCCUAGCAGCAACGACCAAGAGAGGUACAAGAUGGCACAGUGGACAUUAG
rnacentral:lncRNA from 1 species